UGACUCAAAAAGUCGAUUCGCCUCUUGAAAUAUCUUUAGAAAAAAAGAAAAGAAAACUCGCCGUCAACAGAGAGUUCACCCAUGCAUGAAGAAAAUGUAAAGUUAUGAAUACGGAAAAUAUGCGUUUAGCGCUUACAAAAAUUCGUUAACGUUAAGGCCUAUGUGAGCAACAUUAUCACUAAACAUAAUAUAUAUUAACAUCUCUGAUUUGGCUAGGAGGAAGUAUGACAUUUACAAGUGGGCCAUUUUUUUAUUGUGGUUUGUUAUUUAUAUGAGGAUUCAGAUGUUUGCAUUCAUACUUAAGUAACGCAGUUCGAAAGCAUUUUCUUUUUUUGUGAAUAUCAAAGCGUACUUCCUUAAAACUUUUUACUCAUUAUCUUACUAAGCCAAAUUUUCCCCAAAGCUAGAGGAAAGCUAUCAUGCAAGUUAACUUGUUAAUUAGCAAAAACUACAGUGACUAAGGGACUCGUCAUGUACUAACUAGCAAGGUUAUUUUUGUACUAUAUCGUGCAAUAACGAUGCCUUGAUAGAAAUAUUUUAUGAGCUCUACCGCUGGUACUUUACCUGGUUUAAAGAAGUAUGGU